rnacentral:misc_RNA from 1 species
CAUGAAGAACGUAGCGAAAUGCGAUACUUGGUGUGAAUUGCAGAAUCCCGUGAACCAUCGAGUCUUUGAACGCAAGUUGCGCCUCAAGCCAUUAGGUUGAGGGCACGUCUGCCUGGGCGUCACAUAUCGUUGCCUGAUGCCAGUUUCCUCGUGAUGGGUGACUGUGCAGGGCGAAUGAUGGCUUCCCGUGAGCAUUGUUGCCUCAUGGUUGGUUGAAAAUUGAGUCCUUGGUAGGGAGCGCCGUGAUAGAUGGUGGUUGAGUGACGAACGAGACCCAAUCAUGUGAGACCCCUACCGAAUUUGGCCUUCAUGACCCACAUGCGUCUUUGGAACGCUCAUGACGAGACCUCAGGUCAGGCGGGGCUACCCGCUGAGUUUAAGCAUAUCAAUAAGCGGAGGA